UAGGGGGAACGUUUUGGUUUUUACAACCCACCGUAUGCGCAUGCGCCUUGACUAUAAAGCUGACGUCAGACGCCGAGAUUGGCACACCGUGGCGAGUUCGGCACGGUGGCGGAGGCGUCACGGCGGGGUCGAAAUUUAAAAUCCCGGGGGCUUGACGGCGAAACUGCCAUUGUCUGCAAACGUUUCUGAAAGUUAAGAGACACCGGCACGAUCACUUCCAAUAACAGGAGCAGCUCGGAGCUCAUUCAGAAAGUUGGAGGAUGCCCAACCCCAUAUGGUGAUGAAGGUUGCAGUCAGUUCAGCAGUUUACUGUGAUCCAAGAAAAGUCCGUGAGGGAAGCCAUGACCCAGGGAAGUUCUCCUGGACUGGAAGAAGAGGAAGACUAGGCUGUACCAAACCCUCCUUGAUGGUGAUGCGCCUGUGCUACGUGAUUGAUGGCUUUAGAUAUCCAACCUUCAGGAAGCUUUGAUUGUGGUGGCCUCACCUAAGCUCACCAAACCCUGCACACUGCCUUAACCUCCUAACCGCCAGCCCCCACAAGUCUGCAAACCUCUCUCCAAAGUGUCAUGCCAACAUUGCACAACUCAGCUGACUAAACACAAACUACGGCCAUUAAUGAAAAUUUUUAACCAGACAAGGUGCAUCUUCUUGGAAACCAAGUCCUGCAAACUUUUGCAUAAACUAUGUACCACCUAACCAGCAACAGAUGCAUCCACCCACAUCCCUCAAAUUGCUUAAUUCUUCACUGCCAGCAGACUCGGCACCCCUCGACGCAACACAAACUGGACACCCACCUGCGGGGAAAAUGCAACCACAACAUAAUGGGGAGGACAUUCUGUAACCAUAUUUCUGAUGAUGAUUCUCCUGAAGUGGGUAUUUGUGUACUAUGACUCCAUUUUAAAUCUGUAUUAGUAUCUGAAGGACAUGUACACUAAUGUGUUGGACAUCAAGUAAAAUCAUUGCUCAUUUCCUAAUUUGUUUGGUAUGUCUUGUUCAUGCUUUUAGUUAUCAUGCUAACAACAAAACACAACACUGGUAUGCUCAGACAGGCUUUGUGAAAUGCACAGUAGUUAAACAAACAUGGACAAUUUGCUGAGUUUCCAGUCUUCAUGAGGAAAUGUUAUUUAGGUGAUUAUCUGCAUCAUUAAUGAUGUCACUUAAUCUGUGAAAUAUUUUUCUCAACAGUU